UACGUAGGAUGCAAGCGUUGUCCGGAUUUACUGGGCGUAAAGCGCGCGCAGGCGGCAAGGUAAGUAAGGUGUGAAAUCUCGAGGCUCAACUUCGAGCUGUCGGUGGAAACUGUCUGGCUAGAGUCCGGAAGAGGAGAAUGGAAUUCCUGGUGUAGCGGUGAAAUGCGCAGAUAUCAGGAAGAACACCCGUGGCGAAGGCGGUUCUCUGGGACGGUACUGACGCUGAGACGCGAAAGCGUGGGGAGCGAACAGG
rnacentral:rRNA from 1 species